UCCAAUGGCAACUCUGCCAAGGCGCCUAUGACAGCCUGUUGGCUUUUACCUGGUCUGCGAGAAAUCAAACUUUGGGCACAAGUCAUGAAGCCGACAAGCCCGGGAGACACAGUGUCAGAAUUACAAGGAACCCUACAAGGCCUGUUAGAGAAGAAGGGGUAGAAUCCCGAGAAUGUUUUCCCCACAGUGCUGAUAAGGAGAGACCACUACCCCAUCUACUGCUACAACUCUGGAGACAUAGCUCUGCCAUCUCUCCUAUAGAACACAAGGACCAAUCUGCAGAGAAAGAGCAUCCAAACCUGAUCCAGUGGACACUGGGGAAAAACUCACCACAGCUGAGUGUGGAAAAACAAGGCCAACACACACAUCUCUGCACAGAUACAUCUCCCAUAAAGAAACUAAAGUGUUAAUUUACAGGGCGCUGUUGCAGACCCACUUCAACUGGAAGCUACGAACGUGGACAAGGAGCCUCUCUACCACCGAAGGAGAGACAGGAAUGUGCUCUUGUCCUGGCAUUGCAUCUACAGGAGGGGCAGGAAACUCUUUGAAGGUCAGUAACCCCAUACCCCAAUUAACAGUGCUUAAGUGUGAGGCUCCCUCAGAACAUCAGAGAUAUCCUCGCUCCCUCACCCCUGCCACCAGGCUAAGAAGCAUGG
rnacentral:lncRNA from 1 species